CUAGAGCGGAACAUCGAGAGGUGUGCGGGCUAUCGGAGCGUGCGUAGACGGAAGGCUGUGGGCCUGGGCGCCAUCUUGGAUGGUGGACCGGAGACUUCGUCUUAGGGGCUCUCGGAUGUAGCUGCGGCCGGCGCCAUGGGAAAUCCAGCUGCUGUAUUGUGAGGCAGCCCUGUGGACAAGUCCCUGCACAGGAAUGGGGAGGCCUGCCAAGAGCCCUGUGAAUGAGCCUCAAAAGGGUCACCACACUGUUGAAUCUGGAGGUGACUGCAGCCCUUCUCAACAGCUCGACUACAGGGUCGUGUGAGUCCUGAGCCAGAAUCAAAUGGUCUUUUCAGGUCAGAGGAAAUAAGGUCACAGAAGCCAUGAAACAAGUACCUGCAGGGGAUGAGGACAGAGGCAAAGGCACUAGAACAGCAAACACAGCUGCAGGGCUCACCACCUGAUUUCAAGACAGGUGAUACUCAUGAAGUGAUAAAUACAUGGGUGAACAACACAGAGAAGAGAGCCCAGCAGUAGACCCCCACAAACACACCCAUUUGAUUUGUGACAAAGGAGCAAAAGCAAUUCCAUGGAGGAAGGAGUCUUUUCAAUCAAUGGUGCUAGAACUGUGUACCCAUAAGCUAAAGAAUAAACCUCAAUGCAUACCUCAAAAUGGAUCCCAGACCUCAAGACCUUUCCUGCUGGUUGCAGAGAUUCCUGUGAGCUUCAUCACAUCCACAGAAAAACAGCUGCUGGAAGAAGACACAUAACUCACCUGGGACCUAAUCAUUUUCUGCUGCUCGUGGAAAAUCUGCUCUGUUCUGUGACUUCUCUCUGUCCUGAUGCUUUGGAGAAAGACCUCUGGUCAAAGGAACUCAGGCAAGUUGUUUGCUAGACUCAAAUCAGGACUAGUGGUUAAGAAACAGCAUAGAAGGUGAGCUCCUGGCAUGUCUCAUUGAGCUGGACCACAUCUGGGCCAGAUCUGCACCACACACUACACUCUACAGCCCUGGCUCCCACCUGUGAAUGACAGAGUGAAGCCCCUUGCCUCACUGGUUCAACGGGAGAAGCACCACACCAAUCCUCUCUGCAGAAGACAUCAACCAUGUCUGGAAAUACAGUCUUGGCUCUCUCA